GUCGAACGCGUUGGCCCAACUGAUUGAACGUGCUUGCACGGACUUGACGUUGGUUUACCAACGAGUGGCGGACGGGUGAGUAACACGUAGGUAACCUGCCCCAAAGCGGGGGAUAACAUUUGGAAACAGAUGCUAAUACCGCAUAACAGUUUGAAUCGCAUGAUUCAAACUUAAAAGAUGGUUUCGGCUAUCACUUUGGGAUGGACCUGCGGCGCAUUAGCUUGUUGGUAGGGUAACGGCCUACCAAGGCUGUGAUGCGUAGCCGAGUUGAGAGACUGAUCGGCCACAAUGGAACUGAGACACGGUCCAUACUCCUACGGGAGGCAGCAGUAGGGAAUCUUCCACAAUGGGCGCAAGCCUGAUGGAGCAACACCGCGUGAGUGAAGAAGGGUUUCGGCUCGUAAAGCUCUGUUGUUAGAGAAGAACGUGCGUGAGAGCAACUGUUCACGCAGUGACGGUAUCUAACCAGAAAGUCACGGCUAACUACGUGCCAGCAGCCGCGGUAAUACGUAGGUGGCAAGCGUUAUCCGGAUUUAUUGGGCGUAAAGCGAGCGCAGGCGGUUUGAUAAGUCUGAUGUGAAAGCCUUUGGCUUAACCAAAGAAGUGCAUCGGAAACUGUCAGACUUGAGUGCAGAAGAGGACAGUGGAACUCCAUGUGUAGCGGUGGAAUGCGUAGAUAUAUGGAAGAACACCAGUGGCGAAGGCGGCUGCCUGGUCUGCAACUGACGCUG
rnacentral:rRNA from 1 species